rnacentral:rRNA from 1 species
AUGGCGGUCGCCACCGCGUCUGGCGUGAUCUCCUCCCUGCUGGUUCUCGCCGGAGUCGUGGUCACGGCGCAGCCACCUCCUGCGGCGGGAGGGCCACCCACUACACCUCCGCCGGCGGUAGGGCCGCCCAAGGCGCCUCCGUUGCCGGCCGGGCCGCCUAAGUUCCCGGCGAUCCUCGCGUUCGGCGACUCGGUGGCCGACACGGGCAACAACAACCACCUCCGGACGUUCAUCCGGGCCAACUUCCCACCCUACGGCAAGGACUUCCCCGGUCACAAGCACACCGGCCGGUUCUCCAACGGCAAGAUCAGCGUCGACCUCCUAGCGUCGGCGCUGGGCGUGAAGGAGCUGCUGCCGCCGUACCUGAAGAAGGGCCUCUCCGUCGAGGAGCUCAAGACGGGCGUGAGCUUCGCCUCCGCGGGCAACGGCUUCGACAACGCCACCUGCCGGACCAUGUCGGCGCUGACGAUGGAGCGGCAGCUGCAGCUGUUCCAGGAGUACAAGGAGAGGGUCGGGGGCAGCGUCCCGGACAAGGCCCUCUACUUCAUCGUCACGGGCAGCAACGACAUCGUGGAGCACUUCACCUUCGCGGACGGCAUCACGGAGCCCGGGUACGCGGAGAACAUGGUGAGCCGCGCCAUCGCCUACGUGCAGUCGCUGGCGGACCUGGGCGCGAAGCGGAUCGCGCUGGUGGGGGCGCCGCCGGUGGGGUGCCUGCCGUCGCAGCGCAUGAUCGCCGGCGGGCUCCGGAAGCAGUGCGCCACGGACCGCAACCAGCUCGCCCUGCUCUUCAACCACAGGGUGGGGCAGGAGAUGGCGAGGCUGGGCGUCAGGCUCCCGGGGGUCACGCUCGUGAACGUCGACAUCUACACCAUCCUCGCCGACGUGAUCUAUCGGCCGGAAGCGUUCGGGUUGACCAACACCCACGACGCCUGCUGCGGCUACAUCGGGCUGGCCGCCGCCGUGCUCUGCAACUUCGCCAGCCCGCUCUGCAAGGACCCCUCCAAGUACUUGUUCUGGGACAGCUACCACCCCACCGAGAGGGGCUACCAGAUCCUCAUCGACGCCGUCGUCGCCAAAUACUUCAGAUUCAUGCACUAG